rnacentral:rRNA from 2 species
GGAUGCGAUCAUACCAGCACUGAAGCACCGGAUCCCAUCAGAACUCCGAAGUUAAGCGUGCUUGGGUGAGAGUAAUACUAGGAUGGGUGACCUCCUGGGAAGUCCUCGUGUUGCAUUCC